AAUUUUGGAAGCUGCCUACUGAUACUGGUGAGGUUGUCGGUUCAUGUACAUUAUCCAUCAAUCACGGAGAGAAGAUUAACUGGAUGAUCUCUUCUGGGUUCGGAUCUGGUGCCCGUCUCUUCAUUGCGGAUGUGAGCAAUGACAUCACGUGGUAUCAGUCGGUUGGCUGAGAAAAAAACGAGAAGGAUGUAUUUAUUGCAGAGAACAAACAAGAAUU
rnacentral:ribozyme from 1 species